rnacentral:rRNA from 1 species
UGGGUAACCUGCCCCUCUCUCUGGGAUAACCCCGGGAAACCGGAGCUAAUACCGGAUACUCCGGCUGGAUCGCAUGGUCCGGCCGGGAAAGGUCCGCCGGAGAGGGAUGGGCCCGCAGCCUAUCAGCUUGUUGGUGAGGUAACGGCUCACCAAGGCUACGACGGGUAGCUGGUCUGAGAGGACGACCAGCCACACUGGAACUGAGAUACGGCCCAGACUCCUACGGGAGCA